rnacentral:lncRNA from 1 species
CCCACCCCCCACACAGUUGUAUAUCUUAGUUGCAGGUCCUUCUAGUUGUGGCAUGUGGGACACCGCCGCAAGGUGGCCUGACGAGCGGUGCCAUGUCUACGCCCAAGAUCUGAACCCUGGGCCGCCGCAGCGGAGCGCACGAACUUAACCACUUGGCCACGGCCGCUGCGCGGACUUCACCACUCGGCCACGGAGCCGGCCCCUGGGCUGGUUACUUUUAAAAACUGCAGACCUGAGAGAAACUCUUGAGAAGCAGGAGUAACCCUUUGUUAAGAGAUAUUUACAUUUGUAAAGGAAAUCUCCAUCUGUAAAGGCGUCUCCCUCUCUGAACCAGGAAGAAGGGGGGAUGACCUUAUCUCUAGAAACUCUCAUCAAUGUGGAAGGCAAGGACUCAAGUCUGCAUAAUGACCUGACUCUUGUUUACUGUACUUAUCUGGUAAUCUCCCAUAACUGACUCCCCUCACCCCCAACAUCCUCCUUCCUCUUUAGCUGAGGAUGGUAUUUAAGCGAGAAGGACCCAGAGUGGCUAGAGGAAAUGUCUCCUUCCCCUACAGGAUACUAGGGAAGGAAAGGAGGAAACGUUCAACUAGUGUGGGAAAACUUGCUGAUUGAGUAGGAUCCAAAGUCAGACCGCCCUGUGGGGAGAAGGAGCAUCAGCCAGGACUUUUUAUGAUAGAAAAUAUCAAACAUUAAAAAAAAAAGGACAGAACAGACCAAUGAACCCUUAUUUAAUCUGGGUGAAUAAGACCAUUUUGUUGGAGACCCAUUGUGCAAAAUCUCUUACUCAUGCCUCAGUUGUGCUGUUGCCGUAAAUGACCUGGCCGAGGUGAAGGUACCUGCUUUCCUUUACCUUCUAUGCUAAUGAUUUGCUAUUGAUCAAUUCAUGGCCAAUCUUGUUUCAGCUCUCUCCUCCCAACGAGUUAUUGGAUGCAUGUUUCUGACAUUAUAUCAUUUAAUCAAUAAAUAUUUUAGUAUGUUAUCUCUAAAAGAUAUUCUUUUUUAAAACAAAAGCACAGUACCAUUAAACA